UACGGAAGGCAGCGGUGGGGAAUAUUGCACAAUGGGCGCAAGCCUGAUGCAGCCAUGCCGCGUGUAUGAAGAAGGCCUUCGGGUUGUAAAGUACUUUCAGUCGUGAGGAAGGUGUUAAGGUUAAUAACCUUAGCAAUUGACGUUAGCGACAGAAGAAGCACCGGCUAACUCCGUGCCAGCAGCCGCGGUAAUACGGAGGGUGCGAGCGUUAAUCGGAAUUACUGGGCGUAAAGGGCACGCAGGCGGUUAAUUAAGUUGGAUGUGAAAUCCCCGGGCUUAACCUGGGAAUGGCAUUCAAGACUGGUUAGCUAGAGUCUUGUAGAGGGGGUUAGAAUUCCAUGUGUAGCGGUGAAAUGCGUAGAGAUGUGGAGGAAUACCGGUGGCGAAGGCGGCCCCUGGACAAAGACUGACGCUCAUGUGCGAAAGCUGGGGAGCAAACAGGGAUUAGAUACC
rnacentral:rRNA from 1 species